CCUACGGGUGGCUGCAGUGAGGAAUUUUCUGCAAUGGGCGAAAGCCUGACAGAGCAAUACCGCGUGAGGGAUGAAGACUUACUGAGUUGUAAACCUCGGUGCCUUAAGGAAGAAGAUCUGACGGUACUUAAGGUGGAAAGCAUCGGCUAACUCCGUGCCAGCAGCCGCGGUAAGACGGGGGAUGCAAGUGUUAUCCGGAAUCACUGGGCGUAAAGCGUCUGCAGGUGGUUUCCUAAGUCCACUGUUAAACCUUGAGGCUCAACCUCAAAUCUGCA
rnacentral:rRNA from 1 species